GCGAUUUCUUGGAUUGAGACAAAAAUGGCUGCCGAGAAGGUGAUCGCCGUGCACAGCGUUGAUGCCUGGACCGAGCAGCUGAAUCAGGCCAAGGAAUCCAAGAAGCUGGUGGUGAUUGAUUUCACUGCUACAUGGUGCCCACCAUGCCGUGCAAUCGCGCCUUAUUUUGCUGAGCUGGCCAAGAGGUUCCUCGAUGUCAUUUUCCUGAAGGUGGACGUUGAUGAACUGCAGUCGGUGUCUCAGGACUGCAAGGUCGAAGCAAUGCCGACAUUUAUUUUCAUGAAGGAGGGCCAGACUGUGGACAAGAUCAUCGGUGCCCAUAAGGAUGAACUUGAGAAGAAGAUUCUGCAGUAUGCAUAAGUGAUGAUCAUUCUGUGUUUAUGCAUACAGAAAUUUGAUCAUGAAAUCUAUGUUUGUGUGUGAUAAUAAGUAUCCCCAGGAUCUGUUAAGGGAUUUGGCACUUAUAUAUUUCUU
rnacentral:misc_RNA from 1 species